rnacentral:rRNA from 1 species
AUUGAACGCUGGCGGCAGGCCUAACACACGCAAGUCGAGCGGAUGAAGGGAGCUUGCUCCUGGAUUCAGCGGCGGACGGGUGAGUAAUGCCUAGGAAUCUGCCUGGUAGUGGGGGAUAACGUCCGGAAACGGGCGCUAAUACCGCAUACGUCCUGAGGGAGAAAGUGGGGGAUCUUCGGACCUCACGCUAUCAGAUGAGCCUAGGUCGGAUUAGCUAGUUGGUGGGGUAAAGGCCUACCAAGGCGACGAUCCGUAACUGGUCUGAGAGGAUGAUCAGUCACACUGGAACUGAGACACGGUCCAGAGUCCUACGGGAGGCAGCAGUGGGGAAUAUUGGACAAUGGGCGAAAGCCUGAUCCAGCCAUGCCGCGUGUGUGAAGAAGGUCUUCGGAUUGUAAAGCACUUUAAGUUGGGAGGAAGGGCAGUAAGUUAAUACCUUGCUGUUUUGACGUUAACAACAGAAUAAGCACCGGCUAACUUCGUG